CCCGGCACCUCUGGCCAGGGCUGCUCACGCUGCCCAGCCGAGCAGAACCCUUUGGGCACUGGCUGGCACUGGCCUCCACUCCCUUCCUUCCUGCCACAGGCAUUUGGGAGAUACCUCAGGCCAGCUGAGAGGACGGGCAUCGUCCUUGUGGCCAUCGAGAUCCUGGGCCGCUCCAGCCUCCUGGACAAGAAGGCACCCAAGGAGUUUCUGGAGGUGGCCAUGGAAUCCCCUCAGCUGUGGCUGAUGGAUGUGCCAAAAAUUGUGAGACACAUCUUUGCAUACUAUGAUGAAACAAAUGCAGCAACUGCUCACAGCUUUCCCACACUGCUUGACCUGAUGGCCAAUAAGUGGCCUCGGCGAGUCGUCGCGACAGCUCUGGAGGUCGCGCCAAUAUCCUGCGACAAAGUCUGUCUGUGGAAGGCCAUGUUCUCCGUGCGCCAGACUCUGGAGAAGGUUUUGAAAGAGCUGCACAUCAAACUGCAGGAUGGGCAGAAGGACAUCUUCACUCAGCAGCAGAAGUCCUGCCUCACUUUCUUGGCUGUGAGUCAUCAGGAAAAGCCCAUGUGCCCUUGCCCUCUGCUGUCAGUAGGAAGCAGGAGCUGUGCCAGGACAGCCCUGCCAGCUCUACUCGGGCUCUCUGCCGCUUUCUUCCAGAUGCUGGCCUCUGAUGAUGUGGAAGAAGAGGAACUGGAUCCAUUGUACAAAGACUUGAGAAUUCUGAUGCAUUCAGGAAUCGAAAUGGUCCCUCUGGUGCUCAGGGCCCUUUUGACGCUGUCGGAGAGAGCUGAGACGGCAAGAAAAAUGAAGCGCGUCCUCCGAGAGUUGCUGAAAAUCCGGUGGGAAUGGUCUUGGGACAUUUCAGUGAUGGUUAUGGACAUCUUCCAAAAUGUACUGGGGCACCUGAAGAAGACAGAGGCCAGCCCCAUUGCUGUGAAGGUGGUGCAGAGGCUCUGGUACCUCUUUGAUGCGAAGGAAGACUGUGUGCGGGAGCACUCCAUCCGCCUCUUCAGAGACCUGCUGGGCAAAACAGUGUGUGUGGACAAGUAUGUCAUGAAGAAAUAUGCCUGGAAGGCCCUGGUCUGCCUCCUGCUUCACAUGAGUGAUGAGGCCCCCAGCGUGGCCAAGGCAUCUACAGAAGCCGUCCUGGCUAUAGCAGAGCUCCUCAAGUGGAAAGAGCUCAAGCAGCUGGCGCAGAUGGAGCAGACGUGGAGGAUGGGCGAGUGCUUGUUGGCCAAGGACAGCAGCAGGGCCGAACAGUUUGUGUGGGACAGCCAGCGCUACCUGUGGAGCCCUCAGGCCCCCAUGCGAGAGGCGGCCCUCAGGUUCAUUGAGCUUGACAGACUGCAAACAGGAGACAAGGAUCCCGCCAUCUGUUCCCUGGCAGCUCAGACCAGCUUGGUCCUGAAGUCUCCAAGGAAGCAGCGAAGAUCAGGAUUCUCCCUGCGUGCGCUGUGCUGCUGGUGCCGCUGAGCAGAGAGGGACCUUGAUCCUGGUCAAAAUGAGGACAGAGGUGCUGCCUGUGGAGAGAUCCAGAUCCCAGGCCUGGGGAAGCUGCUGGCACAUCCAUUCAAGUCACUCAAGAGAGAAGUGACCACUUUAUGGCUCUGGAUGCUCUCUGUGCCCACUUCAAGUUCAUCUGUCAGCAGAAAGGUAAGAGAAGCUGUGGUGGGCUGCAUCCCUGCGCACGGCCACAUCCCCCCGAUGCAUCUGCUCGUCUUCCCGGGCCUUGCGAUGGCCCCUUCUGUGCAGACACGGGGCUCAUGUGGGCUCUGCUUCUGUCACAGAACUUGAACUACUGCGGGCCAGAGAGAAGGAUCCUGGGCGCUCAGACCCGCCUGCCUAAAAUCCUGCGAGAGGACUCGGUGUGCCUGGAUCCAAGCCCAGCCACAGACCUGUCCAAACUGUAUAUAGUUCUAGAAAGUUAAUUACCCUAUAUAUAUC
ensembl:lncRNA